rnacentral:rRNA from 1 species
GCAGCAGUAGGGAAUAUUGGUCAAUGGAUGCAAGUCUGAACCAGCCAUGCCGCGUGCAGGAAGAAGGCCUUCUGGGUUGUAAACUGCUUUUGCCAGGGGAUAAAAAGUCCAUGCGUGGACAAUUGAAGGUACCUGGUGAAUAAGCCACGGCUAACUACGUGCCAGCAGCCGCGGUAAUACGUAGGUGGCAAGCGUUGUCCGGAUUUAUUGGGUUUAAAGGGUGCGUAGGCGGCCUAUUAAGUCAGUUCUGAAAUAUCCCGGCUUAACCGGGAGGGUGGGAUUGAUACUGAUGGGCUUGAGUGGAGUCGAGGUAGGCGGAAUUGACGGUGUAGCGGUGAAAUGCUUAGAUAUCGUCAAGAACACCGAUAGUGUAGACAGCUUACUAGACUUCAACUGACGCUGAGGCACGAAAGUGUGGGGAUCAAACAGGAUUAGAUAC